rnacentral:rRNA from 1 species
AUACGGAGGGUGCGAGCGUUGUUCGGAAUUACUGGGCGUAAAGGGCGCGUAGGCGGCCCACUGUAAGUCAGAUGUGAAAGUCCAGGGCUUAACCCUGGAAGUGCAUCUGAUACUGCAGAGCUUGAGUAUCGGAGGGGAAAGUAGAAUUCCCGGUGUAGAGGUGAAAUUCGUAGAUAUCGGGAGGAAUACCGGUGGCGAAGGCGACUUUCUGGACGAAUACUGACGCUGAUGCGCGAAAGCGUGGGGAGC